UAUAUUUGGCCGCUUAAUAAGCAUACAUAACAAUCAUUAAAUAAUAUUAGCAUG
rnacentral:ncRNA from 1 species